GGCGUGCACUCAAAACUUUAAAAAGGUCGUAUUGAGAUGUAUAUAAUAUAUACAUACAAAUAUAUAUUUUUUAAAUUAUAUAUGUAUUUAUAUAUAAAUAUAUAUAAUUAAAAAUAUAUAUAUUUGUCUGUAUAUAUUAUAUACAUUUAUUUAUAUAUAUGUAUUUAUUAGGGCUGUCAGCGUUAACCUAUCUAUGGGUAUGUGUCAUAUGCAAACGCCUUUAAAAGGUGAAUUUAAUUUUAAAUCACAAAGACCUCCCACCUCACAGGUGAGGCUCAUUAGCAGCCUGUCAGUCAGAUAACCAGAGAACACGGCGCGAGGACAAUGUGCCUCAAUAUAUAGAGAGCUGAGAUUGUUCUGGAAUGUGUGAUGUAUAACACGUGGGGAUGUGUCAUAUGCAAACGCCUUUAAAAAGUGAAUUUACAUUAUUUUGUAAAAUGUAUAAAAUGAGCCCAGCCUCCAGAGGGUUAACGUGACAUAUGUGAAUGUCAGUCAGUUACCAAGGCCACUGGUUCUGCUGUUCAGUGUUAAAGAUGACAGGACCAAUGGGGUCUCAAUAUACUUCUCUUUUUUUACUCAUCUGGAUGUUUCACUGAAGAAACAAUUUAUCAUCCACGAUAUUAAAUACCUCGCUGGCACUUUAUAGGUUGGAGCCUCUUUGAAAACACAGCUCUGUGUGAAGUUUUGUCUUUAAAAAGAAGAAAACAAACUUUUAAUCGCGAUUAAUGAAUUUCAAAAUGUGCGAUUAAUUAGUGAAUUUUUUUUAAUCGAUUGACAACCCUAGUAUUUAUAUAUAAAUAUAUAUUUAUAUAUAUAUAUAAUAUAAAUAUAUAUUCUUGAGUCGGAACGAGAAGAAACGCCUCCAGAAAACGACAAAAAAAAACGUUUGGUUUUGGUCAGUUCCUCUUAUGUCCGUGUAAAAUAUACUUGCAUAUAUAUUCUGAGUUUCCACCCGGGAAUCGAGGAGCUAGAGGAGCGAAUGAAAAGUCUCCUAAAGGCACCGUAUGACGGCGUGUCUUCAGAUGCUUUGUUUCUUAUGGACUUCAAGCUGUGGCGUACGUUAAAGAUCAUAUUUAAGAUGCAACUCGUGAUCACGGGGGUUGCAGACAUUGUUCUGGAGGCGUUCGGUUCUUCCCCCCCCCCCCCGAGAGGCAACUUGGACGUGUCCAGAUCCGCCCCGUGUAGGCGGCCAAUCGCGGCACUCGGGGUGGGGGGGGGGGGGGGAUUUGGCACAAAGAAGGUGGGAAAAUAACAACGCAUGAGUAGGGCUAAAAUGUAAACAGCGUGCCGAGAUACAGGGCUGGUGGGUAAUGGACUGGUUUAUUUAACCUUUGGAAACCAUUUUGGCUGCCAUCUUGUUUUCUUUUUUAGGGGGGGGGGUGGGGGGGGGGCUUAAGACAACUGAAAGCUGAUUAGGGCUUAUUAUUUAGGCAAACAAAAUGUUACAGCAUAGACUUCUAUACAGCCAGAGGAGUCGCCCCCUGGUGGUCAGUAACUGCUCCAGGCUACAUUAACGUUACAAACCUGAAUUUCCGACGGAACUCAGGGUGUCCGCGGGUCCUUAAAAAGUCUUAAAUUGCUUUUCCUAAAAAUAAGGCCUUAAAAAGUCUUACAUUGUCUUAAAUUCAGAUUGGCUUGGUCUUAAAUUUUGUGGGUGUCAUGUCAUUACGAAUAUGAGGCAAUCUGUUCCGCCAGGUCCGUAUUUUGCUCCGGUCGCUCUGUGGUGUCACCGGGGCCACGCCCCUUCUCUUAAAGGGGCCCCGCGUAUUCGGUCCCAUCAAUCCCCUACAACGUGAAGCAUCGACUAGUUUAGAAAACAUGGGGGGGAUGCAAGUUCAACAAAAAAUGGCUAGAAAAGAACGAGUGUUUCUGGUCACGGUCGGUGAAAUGCUUCUGAAGCUGCGUUAUGUGUCGGGAGACUUUCCAGCGGUGGAAUCUCACGAGCAGAGCAAGAAGCACAGAGACUAGCGAAGGCCGCCAGCAGCCCGCGGGGCUAGCUGCUGCUCCGCCGCGAGCUGCUGCUCCGCCGCGAGCUGCUGCUCCGCCGGCCGCAACGACGUCAACGCUACAACGCUGGAGGUCACCGGAGGAAAUCCAGCGCCGUGCAACAAAGAGCUCAUCACCGAAGACCAACAGGGCGGUGCGUUCUUCAUUCUGUUCCACGAGACUCUGGACCAGACCACCGCGAGCAGACAGCUGGACUUCAUGUUCGCUAUUGGUGAAAUGACCAGGUCCCGUCAGGAUCCUCUGGAGCUCAUGGGCCAUGACACCAGGACCUACUUCAGCAUCUCAAAGAGAAUGGACCAAAUGUCAACUGGAAGUUUUUAUAUUAAUACAGUUUGAAAAGGAUUGUUUUCCUAGUAUAUUCACAAAAGCUCAGGAGUAGACAUGAACCUGUGCACAAACAUCCAUUACAUAAAGACAUGAGAACUCACUCUCUCACACACGCAUACAUUCUAUUAUGUAAAUGUAUUUGCAUUUUAAAAGCAGCUGGAAAUGUUAUUUAUGUUAUUUUAUAGAUUGUUUUUCUUCAAAAGGAACUAUGUUGCACGUAUUUUAAAAAUAUAUUUACUUAAUUUUAUAGACAUUUGUUCAUGGGACCUAAAUGUUCUGAAAAUGUAUUAAUAAAUAUAAUUUACAACAGCAA